rnacentral:lncRNA from 1 species
GAUGAGUGCCAUCGUUACGAUAUUAUUAUAUUUAUUCCUAUAAGCCACCUAAUAAGUAUGCAACCAGUUAUGCGUUCGUGCUUAGAACGGGUUACCUAGAUUUGUGACCAAAUAUAAUAGAAGGUUGGUACUACGCUUGGGGAAUUCUGGUCUUAGCUUGUGGCUGUACGGCUUCCGACGGAGGGGCAUGUCAUAUCGCCCAUCGGAGAGGAUUGUCACUUCAAUUUUCAAUCUGGUUGGAUGAACAAGUAAAUUUUUCCGUGGUCACUGUUUAAAGAAUACAAUAUUUAGUUAAAAUAUUCAUUUAUUAUAAGAUUGGUUUAUUUUGGAAGGAGCUAUUUUUUGUUUUGGAUUUGUGCGGUGAGAGGAAGAGUUUUAUUUCCAAGUUUCCUUUUGGAAAACAGUGGCCACGGAAGAAAAUAAGAAGAUGGAAAAUUAAGUCAAUCAUACUUUAAUUUGUUUUUUGGAAUACAUAAUCAUUUUGGGGAUAUUUUGGAUGGAAUGUGGAUGUUUUGUUUGGUUUUUGUGGAAUAAAAGUUGAGUUUUCCGAUACUGGGCAGCUACCUGCUUGCCGUACCUUCCUGUUGGUGUGGAGUAC